AAUGUGGAAAGGACAAGUUUUUCCAGACUGAAGCAGUGGAGCAGUUUCAUCAGCUGGUGCCCCAGAAGGUCAGCGUGGAGUUUGAGAAUACUAGUAUAACCCUGUCCAUGCACAGCCAGAAAAGGUGAGUCAUAGGACAUGGAGUUAGUAUGAAUUAUAUUUUAUGUGUUGGUUUGUGUUUCUGUUAUUCCAUUUUCUUCAUCCUUUGACUAUCUGAAUCAUCGGAUGUGAGGACGAGCAGCUGUCGCUCAGGAGCUUCACCCCUGAGAUGAGCUUCCCUCAGAGCAGCCUGGAGCUACUUCUGGAGGGUGACAUCAGUGGACAUUUCAGGGCCAGUCAAGGUCAACACCUGCAUCAUCCACUACCGUCACCAGGAGUUCUCCCAUUGGCUAGACCUGUUUCCAUGGGAACAGCUUAUUCAUAGGAAAACAGCUCAUAGAAAGAGGUAUGAGCAUUUUCAACUGACAAACCAGACUGGAGAAUGUCAAGCACACCAGUUGAUUGCUUGAAACGGAUGUAAAGACAAUAUCCAAAAACAUACAUUACUAACUUGGCCCUAUAACAUUUAGUUUCUUUUUGAUAUUGAUUAACACUCUAAUUCUCUCCUGUCUGCUUCCUCAUGUUUCUGUUGUGUCUGGGGGUAUAUUGUGGUGUGUAGUCCAGUGGAGUAUUUGCAUACCCUCCCGUCCUACAGGAACUUCCCCCACCUGGACACCCCAGUGAUGAUCAGCUCCUCAGUGUCCAAUGUCAAUGUGUCUGGGCUCCCUUCGCCCUGGGCUUCAUCUCAGUCAGCACAGGUACAGCACAACACACACUCGCACAAGGCAUGGUCAAAAUAUACUCCCGUUGCAUUAAAGGUCAAGAAUAUGUUGUGGGAACACAAAGUUUAGUCUUGCCUGGAGAGGAAUGACAGGAAUGCUAAUGAACAGCAGUGGGUGUUUUUCUUCAGUUCAUUCUGCUUUCAACAUUGCAGUGGUUUCAGGAAGCCAUGGUGCUGGAGCUGUUGAAUCAACCCUUUCCAAACAUACCCAGCCCUGAUAGAUUACAUUCCUCUAUAUAUGAGAUGCAGCACUUCCUGGACAUCAGCACAAAUGCAGAGAGCCUCAAUUUCCAGAAUGUUCACCGCCACCUCUCUAUGUCCCUGGCAAACACGUGUGGGGGGGAAGCCCUCAUCCUCAACUCCCUUACACUGCAGGCAUACAAGGGGAGCUUCAACAAGCCCCAGAACAGCUGCUGGAGGCCUCAGAGCAGUCAGAUGUGGUGCCUGUACCUGUCCUUGUUGAUGGGACAACCUCCCCCAGUCAUGGCGCCUUUUAUUUUAAGAUUGAGUGUAACCUGGAGGAUGUCAACUUGUUCACACUCUCCAAUGUAG
rnacentral:lncRNA from 1 species